GGAAACCCGACCUGGAGUGAAAGGGGUCGAGGGUCCGGCCGGGCGUGGGUGGGACAGAGCAGCUGCCAGGCCCCCGUACAUCCUCACGUCUUUCGCCCGCGCCCCCGCUCGCCGCAGCCAUGACCUACCUUCGUGUCACAUUUUGCGUGCCUGUUUGCUGGGGUGGUAACCCCAGUUGUUCCUGGCACAUAGUAGGCCUCAAAUAAACGUGUGAUGCGGGAAGGAAGCGCGGCCCACUCUCCUCUGCCUCCCCCUGCGCUUCACGAGUUCGAAGGCCUGGUCUGGGCGGGCGCUGCGAGAGCGCUCCGGGGGUGCGGGCGAGGCGCAGCGAGCCUGGUUUUCCUGUCUGGAGAAGGACCCCGUCAUUUUUAUAGAAGGCUGCUGGAAGGGGGCCUGCGGGGCUAAGCCUGCUGUGCCAGACAGAAGCUUGGAGGGGAAGGGGAGGCUGUGGUCCCACGCAGAGGAGACUCUGCUCUGAGUUUGGAAGCCCCGUCCAGACCUUGCGGCCCAGACAGCGCUCUGCCUGGGCAAUAUCGGAGGGAAGGAAAGGGAAUUCCUCGCCCAGUCGCCCGGGGCUGGCCCUUGCAGCCGCGCCGGCCAUGAUCACGGACUCGGGUACGAUGCCGACAACCCCUCGUCCCGGCCUCCGAGGAAAGGCGCACGCCCACUCGGGCAAAGCCCCCUCGGUCAUACCCGAGACACCUUAGACACAGGACCGGCGUGUGCGCAGCCUGCUGAACAAGGAUUUGAAGAUAUCACAAGGCCCCACCUCGCGGAAAGGGAAAACUUAAAAGUCCAACUUUUCAAGAGCCCUACAGGCCACAGCCCUCAGGAGCAGACGUCUCACUAUGUUGCCCAGGCUGGUCUGAAACUCGGGGCCUCAAGCGAUCCUCCUGCCUUGGCCUCCCAAAGCUCUGGGAUGAGCCACUGCGUCCAGCCUCCCACGUGACCUUUCCGAUGGCAAGCAGAGCCCUGUCCCUCUUAGAAGGAACACGUGGAGUAACACUUGGGCCUUUUGCCUUGUAGCCCUGGCAGCCUUCUCAGAAGGCAGCAAAGCCAGCCACUCCUCUCCACUUCUGGUCCGAGGACCUGGGAAACACUGAAUUCCACAGUGAUUUCUAUGAUGUUAAAUUCCUUCAAGGGACACACAGAUGGUCACUUAAGUCCAGACCGCACUUUGCCCCACUGCUCACAUCCUCCAGCACACACCAUGGGACACACCAUGAAAGCACUAGUUCCCCUAGGGGCCAUAUUGCCAUGGAGAUGACACCUCUGUCUCCUCAAACAGGAAUAAGGCCCUUUUCCAAGGUAAUCCGGGAGUAGCUCUUCCAGGCAACAUGGCAGGGACUUGCCAACACAUUGUUGUCUUGAUAAUAGAGGUAAAUUAUCAUGCAGGGUGACCCGCAAAAAGGCCACAGUGAGAGAGGAAGCGGUGGUCUUCUACUGGGUCCCGUAUCAAGUGGUGAAAGGAAGGCUGGACUCAGGGACAUUUGCAGAAUGAUCUACUCCAAUCUCCUCACUUUACAUGUGAGGCAAGGGCUGACUGACUUGCCCAAGGGUCUCGACUGGUUAAUGACAGAACUGACAGGUCUCCUGAUUCCCAGUUCCCCCUACAAUCUCCGUGGUGCACAUGUCCCAGCCUAGACAAGGCUGGCUUUUUUUUUUUUUUAAUCCAGGACAUUACAGUGAAGCUAAGGAAGCUUCAGAGUGCCUUUCCUGCACCAGCUCUGUGCCUCCUUCUAAAUUUGUAAUUUUAUGAGGCUUUUACUUAAUAAUGUUCUUCCUGAUUACACAAGCUGCAGACCCAUAAAACACGAGUCCACCCCUAGGAGAGGAGAUGUGUUACUUGAGAGGGGAAGGAAUCACGUGGAAGAGCUGAAGGGAAAAAAAAAAAAAAACAGGAAAAACCUGGGGCAGGUCCAGGGACAUUCUCCUACAGCUCACGGGGUGAGUAGGGUGAUUUUACCCUUUGUCGGAUUUACUCCAAAAGACAAAAUGAUGCCAAAGGCUCCAGGCAGGAAAUCUCUAAACCCCCUCAUUUGAGGGACAAUCGCCCAGAGAUGAGAGGCAUCAGAGAAUAGCUAGGUUGUGCCUGCGACCCAAAGAAGCAAGUCGGACGCAGGAGCAUCGGCAACACUAUGAGUAAGGUCUUCGCCCACACGACUCCUGGGGCAAUUCCAUUUUUAUACACUGAACGUACAGCCCACGCUGAUGAAGAGAAACUAGGGGAGAAUGUUCAGAUCCCGGUCCCUAGGCCUGGCAAGCCCCAUAGACCCCACAUCACAUGUCGCAGGUUCCCCAGCUGGAAAGAGCCCCACUCAGCCCAGGAAUCUGAAAGGCAAUGCGCCUCUGUAACCACGUGGGGGCCCCCGUCCAAGGCGCCCUCCAUCCUCAGCCUCUUAAGGACUUUUAAAUGUUUAUUUUUCUCUCGUUUAAAAAUACUAUCCUUGUUAUUGAAAAAUAAAAACAUGAAUUGGGAAAAUAAAAUGCGUAAAAACGGCCUGUGCUCUAUUAAAGAAAAC
rnacentral:lncRNA from 1 species